rfam:Pelodiscus sinensis unplaced genomic scaffold scaffold5583, whole genome shotgun sequence.
GCUCCAGUGGCGCAAUGGGUCAGUGUACAGUACUUAUAAGGCAGUACUUGUAGGAGACAUGCUGAGGUUGUGAGUUCAAACCUCACCUGGAGCA